CAGCAGCCACGGUAAUACAGAGGGUGCGAGCGUUAAUUGGAUUUACUGGGCGUAAAGCGUGCGUAGGCGGCUUCUUAAGUCGGAUGUGAAAUCCCUGAGCUUAACUUAGGAAUUGCAUUCGAUACUGGGAAGCUAGAGUAUGGGAGAGGAUGGUAGAAUUCCAGGUGUAGCGGUGAAAUGCGUAGAGAUCUGGAGGAAUACCGAUGGCGAAGGCAGCCAUCUGGCCUAAUACUGACGCUGAGGUACGAAAGCAUGGGGAGCAAACAGGAUUAGAUACCCCUGUAGUCCCUGUCUCUUAUAC
rnacentral:rRNA from 1 species